AGGGGGAAUGAAAGCAGUGUCAUGUGACUUGUUUCACUUUGCGUUCGUGUGCAGGUGUUCAUUGACCAAACAAACAAAAACAAAGCAGAGCUAAACAUGACUUGCUCAUCUUUUCUUCUUGAUGCACCCUUGGCUGUUGAUAACUCUGAUACAUCUUCUCUCAUGGCCGGUUGUUUUUAUCCCUUUUGUCCCAAACAUUUUAUCUGAUCUCAUUCCCACUGGUGGCAGUGUAUGCACGGAAGUCCAAAAACUCCAUCAAAGGAUGGCGAGCCGCGUCUGCUGAGGACGAGGGGAGGCGGAGUCACUUCGGAAGUAGACUGUUUUCUUUACCAGUGUACAUGUACGUAUGGUUGUUCCCUGCUGCCGUUUACUUGGCCUACGUGCUAACUCCCUUCAUCAAAUCCACUCCAUUGAUUCCCAACACCGGAAGUGUCACUACCCAGGACCAUGC